UACAGGGGGUGCAAACGUUGCUCGGAAUCAUUGGGCGUAAAGCGCACGUAGGCGGUUUGUUAUGUCGGAUGUGAAAGCCCUUGGCUCAACUGAGGAAGUGCAUCCGAAACUGGCAAGCUAGAGUACUAAAGAGGGUCGCGGAAUUCCCGGUGUAGAGGUGAAAUUCGUAGAUAUCGGGAGGAACACCGGUGGCGAAGGCGGCGACCUGGGUAGAUACUGACGCUGAGGUGCGAAAGCGUGGGGAGCGAACAGG
rnacentral:rRNA from 1 species